rnacentral:rRNA from 1 species
UUUAUGGAGAGUUUGAUCCUGGCUCAGGAUGAACGCUGGCGGCGUGCCUAAUACAUGCAAGUCGAGCGAACGGACGAGAAGCUUGCUUCUCUGACGUUAGCGGCGGACGGGUGAGUAACACGUGGAUAACCUACCUAUAAGACUGGGAUAACUUCGGGAAACCGGAGCUAAUACCGGAUAAUAUUUUGAACCGCAUGGUUCAAAAGUGAAAGACGGUCUUGCUGUCACUUAUAGAUGGAUCCGCGCUGCAUUAGCUAGUUGGUAAGGUAACGGCUUAC